rnacentral:rRNA from 1 species
AGUAACGCGUGAGGAACCUGCCUCAAAGAGGGGGACAACAGUUGGAAACGACUGCUAAUACCGCAUAAGCCCACGGCUCGGCAUCGAGCAGAGGGAAAAGGAGUGAUCCGCUUUGAGAUGGCCUCGCGUCCGAUUAGCUAGUUGGUGAGGUAACGGCCCACCAAGGCAACGAUCAGUAGCCGACCUGAGAGGGUGACCGGCCACAUUGGGACUGAGACACGGCCCAG